CUCUGGAGAGUUUGCAACCAUUAAAAUAUUCAGCGAGCCCACAGUAAAAAGAGCAAAGCUGAUCGGGCUGUUAGAACAAAACAUCACAGACUGGGUGGCUUAUAAACAACAAAAAUUUAUUUCUUAUAGUCUGGAGGCUGGAACUCCAAGAUCAAGGCUCCAGCAGAUCUGAUGCCUGGCCUUAUUUCUACAGAAUUCAACUGCUGUGAGGUCCCUGGCGAAGCUGGUGGAAGAGAACCUUCUGUACGUGCCUGGGGAGAGGCCUUAAAUAAUCCUGCUGACCACCCCGCACAUCAACAUGUUUUGGAUGAUGCCACCUGCUCAGCAGGCAUAGUGGAGUGGAGUGUCUUUGAGAUCCCUUUUCACUGGGGGAUGGUUUUGUUGAUGACACAACAUUACUAAUCAAGCAAAUGGGAACCAUGAUACAAUAUUAUUUUGUUAGCUAACCACCAUAGUCCGGUCAGAUUUUUUUUAGGCCUUUCUUACUCCAUUUGUCCAUUUCCUUUGUGAUGCAUAGUUUUGAAAGUAAAUAGAAGUUACUUGUGUUAAAA